rnacentral:tRNA from 1 species
GGCAAGGUAGCUCAGUGGUAGAGCGCUUGCCUUGCAUGCAUGAGACCCUGGGUUCAAUUCCUCAGCACCA